UACGAAGGGUGCAAGCGUUAAUCGGAAUUACUGGGCGUAAAGGGUGCGUAGGCGGUCUGUUAAGUUGGAUGUGAAAGCCCCGGGCUCAACCUGGGAAUGGCAUCCAAAACUGGCAGGCUGGAGUGCGGUAGAGGAUGGUGGAAUUCCCGGUGUAGCGGUGAAAUGCGUAGAGAUCGGGAGGAAGACCGGUGGCGAAGGCGGCUUUCUGGCCAGUUACUGACGCUCAUGCGCGAAAGCUGGGGUAGCGAACCGGAUUAGAUACCCCUGUAGUCCCUGAG
rnacentral:rRNA from 1 species